CCUUUCAGCACCUAGUCGUUCCUUUUCUUGUUUGUCGCGCACAUUCUUCCGCUCUGUUUCGAUCCCGGCACUUAUAUAUAUAUCCGCCAGCCCACCUUGCCUACUCUCUACGUCGGCAGUACUCCUACUCUAUCACCACUUACCACUACUAAGAGUGACAGGUGCCCGCUGCUUUGAAAGCGUUGAUUACAGCUAUAUCUGGUGACGAGUAGUACUCACUGCGGAUUACUCAGCGCCAGUGUGAUCGCCGUUUGGAAAAAAAGAGAUUUUCAAGAGGACAACGAAAAUGAACAUUCUUGUUUGCUCUUCUGUGCUUCUAAUAGCGUACUGGGCGUUCUGCGAGGGCCAGACGGACUAUUCAAAAAUGGAUCCGGAAAAGCUGCUAUAUAUUAACUAUACGAAUGAGGUAAGCUAUGCUGCAGUAUAGUUAAUGUCUCUUAAGGCGUUCGCCUUUAUGCAACUACACAGCUGAA